rnacentral:rRNA from 1 species
GUAGGGAAUAUUGGGCAAUGGAUGCAAGUCUGACCCAGCCAUCCCGCGUGCCGGAAGAAGGCCCUCAGGGUUGUAAACGGCUUUUGACGGUGAAGAACCGACAGGAUGCGUCCUGUUUUGACGGUAGCCGUUGAAUAAGCACCGGCUAACUCCGUGCCAGCAGCCGCGGUAAUACGGAGGGUGCGAGCGUUGUCCGGAUUUAUUGGGUUUAAAGGGUGCGUAGGCUGGAAGGUCAGUCAGCGGUGAAAAGCUAUCGCUUAACGAUAGUCUUGCCGCAGAUACUUCCUUUCGUGGAUGAGGAGGAGGCCACUGGAACGGAUGGUGUAGCGGUGAAAUGCAUAGAUAUCAUCCAGAACACCGAUUGCGAAGGCAGGUGGCUGUACCUUAAUCGACGCUGAUGCACGAAAGCAUGGGGAGCAAACAGGAUUAGAAACCCCUGUAGUCC